rnacentral:rRNA from 1 species
GUACUGAAACAUCCAUCUGAAGGAGGAUUUAGCAGUAAGCAGGAAAUAGAGCGUCCCGCUGAAACUGGCCCUGAAGCGCGCACACACCGCCCGUCACUCUCCCCAAAACCACUUAUACAAUUAAUUAAAACCUAAUGCUAAAAAGGGGAGGCAAGUCGUAACAUGGUAAGUGUACCGGAAGGUGCACUUGGAAAAAUC